UUUUAGGAAGCAAAGAAGCGAGGGCUCCAAGUUUCGUUGUUGGAGAAAGUUGGUUUGUUAGAUAAAGAUUUGAUCUUUGCACAUUGCCCAUGAGCUCCAAAGGUCCCCAUACAGAUUCAAUUGAUACAUUGAAGUUUAAAAUGUCUCCUGAAAGGGAUCCAGAUAAGUUCUUCAUGUCCAUCAGUGAAGGAGAGAAAAAGCCAGUUGACUUUUUACGCGUUCUAUAUGAUGGUUGUAUUGCUGGAGGUGUUGCUGGUGUCAUUGUAGAAGCAGCUUUAUACCCCAUUGAUACCAUCAAAACUCGACUACAGGUUGCUCGUGGUGGAGGGGAAAUUAUUUUGAAGGGUUUGUAUUCUGGAUUGGCUGGAAAUCUUGCUGGUGUCUUACCAGCUUCUGCAAUUUUUAUUGGCGUGUAUGAACCCACAAAGCAGAAAUUGCUAAAGUCCUUACCUGAUCAUCUCAGCUCUGUGGCUCAUUUUGCUGCAGGUGUUAUUGGAGGCACUGCUUCCUCUUUUGUUCGUGUUCCAACUGAGGUUAUCAAGCAAAGGAUGCAAACUGGGCAAUUUGGAUCAGCUAUGGCUGCUGUCCGUCUUAUUGUUGCUAACGAGGGUUUUAAAGGUCUUUAUGCGGGAUAUGGAUCUUUCUUAUUGAGAGAUUUACCAUUUGAUGCUAUAGAAUUAUGCAUCUACGAGCAGCUCCGUAUUGGGUAUAAACUAGCUGCAAAAAGGGAUCUAAAUGAUCCAGAGAAUGCUAUGCUUGGGGCAUUUGCUGGUGCCAUAACUGGAGCGGUUACAACUCCUCUUGAUGUAGUAAAAACCAGAUUGAUGGUUCAGGGAUCACAAAACCAUUACCAUGGCAUUUAUGAUUGUGUGAGGACAAUAGUUAAAGAAGAAGGAGCUCAUGCUCUUUUUAAGGGUAUUGGUCCAAGAGUUUUGUGGAUAGGACUUGGAGGUUCAAUAUUUUUUGGUGUUCUUGAGAAGACAAAGCAAAUUCUUGCUAAGAGGCACCCCCCAAGAUGAGGCUCGGAAUAAAAUUUCUUCAAGGCAGGAUUAAGCUGAUAUGUUUCAAUGCACAUUUAAUUUAAUUCCAUGUUUUGCUCAGCUCAUUCCUAAAUUGGUGCCUGGCCUGAAAGGGUCCAGGCCAAAAUAAGUCCAUUUGGAACUCAAAAUUUAGGCCCCAAUUGGAAUUUGGGCUGCUAUUGUAAAGCCUGAAGAAAAUCAGGGCCACCCUGGAGCAUUAUCUAAAGACUGACAAAGCACAGGCUGUAAAACGGCAAAUCACAAUUCCCAAAGGCUUCUCAAUUUUAUGCAAAGUGGUCUUAUUGUUACAUUAUGCAAAGAGACUGUUCUUAAAACUUGAACCGGUGACUUUUCGAUCACAAAAUACAGUCCAAAGAAUAGGGCAAGAGAAAAGGGAUUCUAGAAGGAAGGAAGAAAAUUGAAGUUCAGGACACAUUUGGGAUAUAUGUACACCUUGCUUGCACCCGGAUGGAGAACCUUUGCAUUGAGGAUGUAUAUCCAAAACAUAUUUACAAUAUGGGAGAUGUAGACAGGGAGCAUAGAAGGGUUAACAUGGAAAGAUUCAGCAGCAGCUGGCGUGCCACUAUCAUUCAGGGUUAUGAAAAUCCGCGAGAAGCAACUGGCCGUAUUGUAUGUGCCAAUUGUUGGUUCAU